ACAAGACUAGCUGAUGAAGCAAAAUAAUCCUUGCGAUAAUCGUGAUUGUGGAAGAGAUUUAAUGGAUACGAUGACAAAGAAGUCUGGAAUAAACAAAAAACCUCAGAACCUCCAUAACUGUGUCUGCUACAAUGUAUGUUCUUGCAACCAGCUGAUUGAUUCAUUUUAUCAAAUGGUUGAUUAUCAGAACUGAAUUCAGAGCUGCUCCUGUCUGUAGUAACAUCAUUAUUGAAGUGGACUUCAGAAUAAGGGUUUUGCUGGUUUAAAAACUUCACUCCAUGGAGCUCUCCAAAUUCAUCUCAAAUUAGACUGCUUCUGGAAACCAGAUUUGUUCCUUCAAGCAGAGACGCUUGUCGCUUUCCUGACUGGACUUCUAUGGAUUCCUCAUGCCAACCUUAAGGACUGGUCUUCUGCAUGAUACACGUCAAUUCCAAACAAGACAUUCUGUGGUGAAACACUCGAUGGAGAUGAAAUUAUAUAACUGAAUCUCAGAAGUAAUUCCUCGGGAGCAAGAAACAAUGAAAAAUAGAAAUAAAAGGUCCAUCAAUUAUGAAUUUCUUGAGCAGUGUUCUUUUUUGUGCACAAAUCAAUGGAUCAUUUCAAUUCCAAGCAGGUAUGUAGUCAAUGCUGACCUCGAGGCAACAGUUUGCUGGCCUUGGUCUGAGUCACUUUACAGAAUCUAUGGGAAGUUCUCUCAAGCUGCCUCAUGACUCGGAAGAAUCAGCCUCGACCUCAUCCCUGUAUGCAAAUGUGAUAUAUAUCUACGAUGCAAUCUCACGAUUAAAGAGAAACAAGAGAGCUUCGAUUUUGAAGUGUAGCAAUCUCUUGAAAUUUAUGUUUUAUUUGAAAAUCAAACUACAAUAACUUAAUUAGGCAUGUUAUUCAUUAUAUUUAUGAAUGAAAGCAUUGAAACAAUUUGGUGCUCUUGCAAAACAAAUUCUGAAUUGUAUUUACUGCAAACCCUCAGAAAUAUUUUUGAGAAUUUGCCAGUGCAUGAAGUGUUUUGAUAAAGAGUGGCUUUUGUGCCUAUGGAAAGUUAUUAUUUCUUCAACAUUUCUUCAUACAAAUUAUUUAAGAAAUCACAAUUUGAAUAUUCCAUGACCGCUGAUAACAAGAGCAGAAUAUUUUGGGUGAUUGACACACUUUAAAAUGAUAUUAGAAGAGAAUGUAGUGAAGUUUUGUGAAAACAAUGGCAUAAUUGCUGUAUAGAGGCCUAUGAAGGUUGAAAAUAACAUUAUUUUAAGUUUUUCUUGAAAAAAACCCAUGGGAAAUUGAAACUGGUAUAAUUUACAAAAGUUAAAAAAAAAAAAGCCUAUGUUUACAAGCCUAUGGUCAAUCAAUUGAACGUAAAUCAAGCGCAAAUUUUGCGCGUCCUCCAAAAUCUCACACAAGUUACGUUCGAUUUGCAAUCAAUUGCAAAGCUUGCGCUUGAUCUACGUUCAAUUGAUCAAACGCAACUUCUUGCAACAGGGUUGAACGUAACUUGCGUUCAAUUGCAGAUUUGCGUUUAAUCGGAGGACUUACGCUCAAUUUUGGGAGUUGCGUUCGAUUUGCGUUCAAUCGCAAGUUUCUUGCAACACCCCAAUAAUCAUAUCAUUAUGAUAGGAUAUUUUUAACAAGACAUGUGUCAUGCGUUUUCCCUUAGGUUGAUGAGUCAUAAUGCGAUAACGAGAUCCAUUGUGUACAUUAACCAGGGCUAUAUUUCCAUGUCUUAGAAGACGUAUCCAUGGUAAAUGGGCGAUAAUGUUGUUGUCAAACAUGUCAAAUGGCAAUUCAAACAAUCAAGGACUCCGUCAAAUACUUAUUAUAAAGGGCAUUUUCUCAAAUCCAAAUGCGUAUGCUGCUGUUAAAAAAAAGCAAUUCAAAUAACCAAGAACUUCGUGAAUCCUUUGCUGUAGACAGGUAAAUGUUUAAUAUGCUGUAACACGGUAAUUUGAUUGAGAUGUCUGAAAUUGUAUCUUUACCUCAAUUUCCCAUGGUUGUAAAUUUGGACUAUUGGCCCUUCAGAUCAUGAAAUAUUGAUACCCGGUUUUCUUGAUGAGAGGUGAUUUGACAUGACAGUGUUUGUCUUUGCACAAAGGACAUUACCCUUGGAGUUAACCAAUCUUUAAAAGUUAUAGAAUCCAAAAAUGGCAGAAUAAAUCAUAUAGGACAUUGCAGCCGAAAAUACAAAGACUAUGAUACCCUUUAUUUCAAUUACUUUAUCACCAAGAUUUUUCUUUUAAAUAAGGCCCUAGUAUUCCUCAAAGUUCGGAAUUUCUGUUGUUUUUCAUGCUCUUAAAUGGUAUAAUCUUUUAUUAACAUUUAGAAGAUGUAAUUUAUUACAAUUUGGUAUCAGUUCAAAACGGAUAUUUUUUGCUUACUCGCUUCGCCCUUCCGCAUUUAUUUUUCAAUAUUCAAUAAUAUUACAAAUUAUGAAUAAUGUUAAUAAAUGUCAAGUGUCUUUGUAAUUACGAUUUGAU